GCAGUGGGGAAUUUUGGACAAUGGGGGAAACCCUGAUCCAGCCAUCCCGCGUGUGCGAUGAAGGCCUUCGGGUUGUAAAGCACUUUUGGCAGGAAAGAAACGGCGCGUGCUAAUACCAUGCGCAACUGACGGUACCUGCAGAAUAAGCACCGGCUAACUACGUGCCAGCAGCCGCGGUAAUACGUAGGGUGCAAGCGUUAAUCGGAAUUACUGGGCGUAAAGCGUGCGCAGGCGGUUCGGAAAGAAAGAUGUGAAAUCCCAGGGCUCAACCUUGGAACUGCAUUUUUAACUACCGGACUAGAGUAUGUCAGAGGGGGGUGGAAUUCCACGUGUAGCAGUGAAAUGCGUAGAUAUGUGGAGGAACACCGAUGGCGAAGGCAGCCCCCUGGGAUAAUACUGACGCUCAUGCACGAAAGCGUGGGGAGCAAACAGGAUUAGA
rnacentral:rRNA from 1 species